GACCUCAGGAUCCACCAGCAGCCCAAGACACCUCGGAAGCUGUUUCAAGGACAAGCGUCGCCUGCACACGUCAGCACAAAUGGGAACAUGAUGAGUGAUGCUGCCUGGAGUUAAAGGAGGCCAGGAGCACCAGAAGCUGGAGGAGGCCGGGGUGGAUUCUCGCCUGGAGGCUUCAGUGGGAGCACGAGCUCCCGACACUUCGGUUCCAUCUCUUGUUUAAAGGCACCCAGUUUCUCAUCAUUUGUUACAGCACCAUGGAAAACCCACACACAAGUGAAGCCCCGACCCACCUCCCAAGUGCCCAUCUGAGCACCCCUCGUGGACUCUGAGCAGGGGGUUGCCAUCACCAACUCCAAGUCUUGCAGCCCCUCUUCCCUUCAGUCUGGCUGCCACCUUCUUCAUUGCCCUGGAAAAAAAUAAUGAAGUUUCACCAUUUAAAGGGUUUCAGUGCAGCUUGCUAUGGGAACACUGGAGAGUAACACAAAUGGCCAAUUGUCCUAAUAGCCACCAUGGAUUGGAUGGAUGCUAACAACAGGCUCACAGUUCUCCUUCUGUUGCCUCCUUUUAUCCACAUGAGAAUCAAACAAGUAGGUGCUGCUGGUAUUACUGUAUUUUUCUCAUUUUAAAGAUCAGGAUGGGGAGGGUUGAGGAGGUUAAGGAAGUUGUUAGAAGUUACACUGAAGUUAAGAAAGGAAAAAGGACUUAGAAACUUAUUCUUCCAACUUUAGAACCACGGUCAGUGACCAAGGCCCUGCUUAGAACUUUCUGAAGGUUGCAGCUGGCCUUCUACCUGGAGUUUUGACUUCCUUUCCGAGAAAGGAACUUGAAUGGCAAUCACAAGAAAGUUGAGAACUUCUCUUUCAUAUUUUAAGCAUUCAUUUUUUUUUAUAUUUAUUUUAAUUUACAAAUACUAAUUGUAUAUAUGUAUAAGGUAAGAUAUGAUAGUUUGAUAUGGCUACCUUGUAAUAAAAUGAGCCUCAUUACCAAAAAAAAAA
rnacentral:lncRNA from 1 species